rnacentral:rRNA from 1 species
AGCGUAGACGGCGGAGCAAGUCUGAAGUGAAAGCCCGGGGCUCAACCCCGGGACUGCUUUGGAAACUGUUCUGCUAGAGUGCUGGAGAGGUAAGUGGAAUUCCUAGUGUAGCGGUGAAAUGCGUAGAUAUUAGGAGGAACACCGGUGGCGAAGGCGACUUACUGGACUGUAACUGACGCUGAGUCACGAAAGCGUGGGGAGCGAACA